GACGAACGCUGGCGGCGUGCCUAAUACAUGCAAGUAGAACGCUGAAGAGAGGAGCUUGCUCUUCUUGGAUGAGUUGCGAACGGGUGAGUAACGCGUAGGUAACCUGCCUUGUAGCGGGGGAUAACUAUUGGAAACGAUAGCUAAUACCGCAUAACAAUGGAUGACACAUGUCAUUUAUUUGAAAGGGGCAAUUGCUCCACUACAAGAUGGACCUGCGUUGUAUUAGCUAGUAGGUGGGGUAACGGCUCACCUAGGCGACGAUACAUAGCCGACCUGAGAGGGUGAUCGGCCACACUGGGACUGAGACACGGCCCAGACUCCUACGGGAGGCAGCAGUAGGGAAUCUUCGGCAAUGGGGGCAACCCUGACCGAGCAACGCCGCGUGAGUGAAGAAGGUUUUCGGAUCGUAAAGCUCUGUUGUAAGUCAAGAACGAGUGUGAGAGUGGAAAGUUCACACUGUGACGGUAGCUUACCAGAAAGGGACGGCUAACUACGUGCCAGCAGCCGCGGUAAUACGUAGGUCCCGAGCGUUGUCCGGAUUUAUUGGGCGUAAAGCGAGCGCAGGCGGUUUGAUAAGUCUGAAGUUAAAGGCUGUGGCUCAACCAUAGUUCGCUUUGGAAACUGUCAAACUUGAGUGCAGAAGGGGAGAGUGGAAUUCCAUGUGUAGCGGUGAAAUGCGUAGAUAUAUGGAGGAACACCGGUGGCGAAAGCGGCUCUCUGGUCUGUAACUGACGCUGAGGCUCGAAAGCGUGGGGAGCGAACAGGAUUAGAUACCCUGGUAGUCCACGCCGUAAACGAUGAGUGCUAGGUGUUGGAUCCUUUCCGGGAUUCAGUGCCGCAGCUAACGCAUUAAGCACUCCGCCUGGGGAGUACGACCGCAAGGUUGAAACUCAAAGGAAUUGACGGGGGCCCGCACAAGCGGUGGAGCAUGUGGUUUAAUUCGAAGCAACGCGAAGAACCUUACCAGGUCUUGACAUCCCGAUGCUAUUUCUAGAGAUAGAAAGUUACUUCGGUACAUCGGUGACAGGUGGUGCAUGGUUGUCGUCAGCUCGUGUCGUGAGAUGUUGGGUUAAGUCCCGCAACGAGCGCAACCCCUAUUGUUAGUUGCCAUCGUUCAGUUGGGCACUCUAGCGAGACUGCCGGUAAUAAACCGGAGGAAGGUGGGGAUGACGUCAAAUCAUCAUGCCCCUUAUGACCUGGGCUACACACGUGCUACAAUGGUUGGUACAACGAGUUGCGAGUCGGUGACGGCAAGCUAAUCUCCUAAAGCCAAUCUCAGUUCGGAUUGUAGGCUGCAACUCGCCUACAUGAAGUCGGAAUCGCUAGUAAUCGCGGAUCAGCACGCCGCGGUGAAUACGUUCCCGGGCCU
rnacentral:rRNA from 1 species